UAGAAAUCUUUGAAUAUAUAAGAUAGCAAAGCAGAUCUUUUAUCUUGUGAGCCUUUGUCAAUACCACAGACAGGAGAACAGUUCUCAGUGAAUCCGAGCGACAGAAAGAAUGGACAAACCCCUGAGCCUGCUCAUCCUCUGGUUACAACUAGACUGGGUGAGCAGUAAACAGCAGGUGGAGCAGAGUCCUGAAGCUCUGAGUGUCCGAGAGGGAGACAGUUUGGCUCUCAACUGCAGCUACACCGAUAGUGCUAUUUACUCCCUUCAGUGGUUUAGGCAGGACCCUGGGAAAGGGCUCGCUUCUCUGUUGUUGAUCCAGUCAAAUGAGAGAGAACAAAUAAGUGGAAGAAUGAAAGCCUCAUUGGAUGAAUCAUCAAGACAUAGUGCUUUGUACAUUGCAGCUUCCCAGCCUGGCGACUCUGCCACCUACCUCUGUGCCGUGAGGCACAGUGCUCAACGUGCACCUGUCACCAACACCCAAACUCUGAGGCUGGGGCUCCAACUACGUGUUCUAUCUUGA